CAUAUUUAAACCGGACAUGCAUCAUCCUUCAUUGUGCAUCAUGCCAUGUUUAUGCUUGUGUGUUUACCAUGUUGCUUGCUUCUUUCCGGUUUGCUUCUCUCGUUAGCUUUGGUUUCAUUCCAAAGUUGUGAGGAUUCAUUCGACCACGUCCAGUUGUCUUCUUCAUGGAAUCGUUCUUCUUCCUUGUGGGAUCUCAGGCAAGAUGACCAUUACCCUCGAUAUCACUUCUAUCUUUGCUUGCUAGUUGUUUGUUCUAUCGCUAUGUCGCACUACCUACCACUUGUUUAUCAAGCCUCCCAUAUUGCCAUGUCAAGCCUCUAACCCACCUUACUAGGAAACUGUUGUUUGGUUAUGUUACCGCUUUUGCUCAGCCCCUCUUAUAGCGUUGCUAGUUGCAAGUGCCUUGCAGGUUGUUCCAUGUUGGAACAUGGAUAUGUUGGGAUAUCACUUUACCUCUUAUUUAAUUAAUGCAUCUAUAUACUUGGCAAAGGGUGAAAGGCUCGGCCUUAUGCCCGGUGUUUUGUUCCACUCUUGUCGCCCUAGUUUUCGUCAUACCGGUGUUAUGUUCCUUGAUUUUGCAUUCCUUAUGUGGUUGGGGUUAUGGGACCCCCUUGACAGUUCACUUUGAAUAAAAAUCCUCCAACAAGGCCCAACCUUGCUUUUACAUUUUCCUAACAACCUAUAACUUUCCCUUGGGUUCUGCAGACCUGAGGGUCAUCUUUAUUUUAACCCCCUCGGGCCAGUGCUCCUCUGAGUCUUAGUCCAACCUAGAGCCACUUGCGGUGCCACCCCUUCACCCGGGUCUUUGAUUGCCGUACAUAGUGUUCAUCCGGUGUGCCUUGAGAACGAGAUAUGUGCAGCUCCUAUCGGGAUUUGUCGGCACAUCGGGCGGUCUUGCUAGUCUUGUUUUACCAUUGUCGAAAUGCCUUGUAACCGAGAUUCCGUGACUGAUCGGGUCUUUCCGAGAGAAGGAAUAUCCUUCGCUGAUCGUGAGAGAUUGUAAUGGGCUAAGUUGGGACACCCCUGCAGGGUAUAAACUUUUGAGAGCCAUCGGUUAUGUGGCAGAUGGGAAUUUGUUAAUAUCCGGUUGUAGAGAACUUGACACUUGACUAAAUUGAAAUGAAUCAACCGCGUGUGUAGCCGUGAUGGUCUCUUUUCGGCGGUGUCCGGGAAGUGAACACGGUUUGGGUUAUGUUUGGACGUAAGUAGUUUCAGGAUCACUUCUUGAUCACUUCUAGCUUCAUGACUGAUGCGUAGCUUCUCAUCUUACUCUCAUUUGCGUAUGUUAGCCAUCAUACUUGCUUAGCGCUUGCUGCAGCUCCACCUCACUACCUUAUGCUACCCAUAAGCUUAAAUAGUCUUGAUCUCGCGGGUGUGAGAUUGCUGAGUCCUUGUGACUCACGGAUACUUCCAAAAUAGUUGCAGGUGCUGAUGAUACCAGUGUAGGUGAUGCUACCGAACUCAAGUGGGAGUUUGACGAGGACCUUGGUCGUUACUAUAUGUCGUUUCCUGAUGAUCAGUAGUGGAGCCCAGUUGGGACGAUUGGGGAUCUAGCAUUUGGGGUUUAUCUUCAUUUUCAUUUGGAUUUGAUCGUAGUCGGUCUAUGAGUGUAUUUGGAUGAUGUAUGAAUUAUUUAUGUAUUCUGUGACGUGGCGAGUGUAAGCCAACUCUCUUUAUCCCUUUCUUGUUCAU
rnacentral:lncRNA from 1 species